rnacentral:misc_RNA from 1 species
GUUCCAUUGUGGGACUUGUUGCCGAGGGACACUUUGAGUUGUUGAGGUUGGGUGGCUUGUGCAAGAGUGUUGCCGUGAGCUCCAUUGUAACUCAUUGGUGAGUUUGGUUAUAAACUUGUUGCCGUGAGGUUCCUUGGGACCCCUUUUGUGGUUGGGUUGAUUGCCGUGGAUCCUUGAGUUGGAUUGGUAGCCGUGAACAUCCCUUGGGACACUUGGUGUUUGGAG